AAACGCAAUGCCAGUGGUCAGCAGUGCGCAUGCGUCACUCAGAACACACAGGCUGGACAACGACGCUCUUCCAUUUGCUCGUCGGCUUCCAUGGAGGUAACAUCAGCGGGUAGUCUCGUUAGCACCGACUCAUCACCCGUCAGCCACCGCCCGCCAGCCUUGUCAGCAAGGUUCCCGCGCCGUGAACAUCUGACGCAGCGUGAGUCGCUCCCCCGGGCCACCUGUUGCCGUGUCCUGUCGGGGGUUGCGAGGCGAGGCGGCGAGGAAACGGGAGGUCCAGGAUCACUAUAACCAAGCCACGCUCUCUGCCGAAUUACGCUCAGCACUCCUUCACCUGGCGGAAUUAUUCAGCGAGUUCAUGAAGACCUUCGAAUCUGCAAUUUAGGAAGCCAGUAACGGAGAGGGCGGACCAGUGGAAACUGGCAGCGUAUUCUCAAGAUUGAGGGGUAGUAAUAAUUAUACUAUUACUACCCCUCAAUUUUUUAACUGUUGGGCCUGCUCUCUCCGAUACUCUGAAUUUAAUCACGAACUCGUUGAAUGAUUGCGUCACGUGAACAGGUUUGACGUAAUUGAAAGGGGCGGUUGAGCGGAACUCGGCAGGGAUGAUGGAUGAACGCAGAGUAGACGGAAUCUAGGAAAGCGUAACUCGGCAGGGGAUGGAUGAACGCAGAGUAGACGGAAUCUAGGAAAAAGAAGAACGCAGGGGAGGACAAUAGACGGAAACGGCUACAGGCCAAAUCUUGAUCGAAGUGAUGAACGCGUACUCGUAUUGUGUGUAGCCACCACCAGCCGACCGUCCAGAGUCAAGCCGCCGCGCCACAAUGAAGCCUCACCGGACCCGUUGUCCCGAAGCAGCACUGAAAUAAAAAGAACCAAUAAAAAAUCUAAAUUUAUAGACUACAGUAUCCCUUCAUUUGUUUCCACCACUACGUCGUCACCAUAUCACGCAUGCGCGCGCACUCAUCUGAUGGAACAACAUCCUAGUGACACACGGUGCGAUGCCGCUACUCUCCAAAUCAUGAACGCGUACGUAUUGUAGUAGCCUCCCAGUGAGUGCUGACUGGUUUUCAAGAACUGUCACACUGCUUCACGAGGCCCUGCGGAGAUAAUUAAUUAGUUAGUCCCUACUGUAACAAUAAAAUAUAUUAAUAAAAUAAUAUUAAUAAAAUAAUAUAGUCCCUACUACUGUAACAAUAUAAUAAUAAAAUAUAUAAAAUAAGCUUA